GUAGCUCAGUGGUAGAGUGCUUGCCUUGCAUUCAUGAGGCUCUGGGUUCAAUUCUCAGC
rnacentral:tRNA from 1 species